rnacentral:rRNA from 1 species
CUACGGGGUGCUGCAGUGGGGAAUAUUGCACAAUGGGCGCAAGCCUGAUGCAGCCAUGCCGCGUGUAUGAAGAAGGCCUUCGGGUUGUAAAGUACUUUCAGCGGGGAGGAAGGGAGUAAAGUUAAUACCUUUGCUCAUUGACGUUACCCGCAGAAGAAGCACCGGCUAACUCCGUGCCAGCAGCCGCGGUAAUACGGAGGGUGCAAGCGUUGAUCGGAAUUACUGGGCGUAAAGCGCACGCAGGCGGUUUGUUAAGUCAGAUGUGAAAUCCCCGGGCUCAACCUGGGAACUGCAUCUGAUACUGGCAAGCUUGAUUCUCGUAGAGGGGGGUAGAAUUCCAGGUGUAGCGGUGAAAUGCGUAGAGAUCUGGAGGAAUACCGGUGGCGAAGGCGGCCCCCUGGACGAAGACUGACGCUCAGGUGCGAAAGCGUGGGGAGCAAACAGGAUUAGAUACCCCCGUAGUC